ensembl:lncRNA
AGCCAAGUCUGAUGCAGCAGGGGACACAGAGAGGCUGGUCGGAAAAGCAGCUAAUGUUCUCUGUCCCUGGCACUUCCCCCAGCAGCAGAGGGCAACCCCAGGUUCCAAGGAUCAACGGGGACAUCACAGGACUGAGUUCACAGGGAGCAGGUCUGAAGGGGCAGAGGAGCCGGGCAGAGCUGAGGAAGACUGAGGUGCCCAUGUUUCUCCUUUCUCCCUUUGCUUUUUGAGACAGGGUCUCGCUAUGAAGCCCAGGCUGGCCUCCAACUCACAGCGAUCCUCCUGCCUCAGCCUCCCGGUGCUGGGAUAACAGGUGUGCACCCCCACGCCCACCUGCAACUUCCUUCUGUCUUUGGAAACUCUCGGCAGAGCUCGUGAUGAUAGUCAGCUCUCAGCACCGGGGCGGUGUCCACUCUGUGCAACCCCAGGGGUUGACUGAAGGUCCCCGGGGGACAGUCUGAGAGCAAGCAAUGCUGGUGGCGAUGCAGGCCUGGCAGGAGGCGCACUGUCACAGAGCAGUUGCCUUUUCCAGGCCUGGUUCCCAGUUGCACGAGGAGAACGUGGGACACUGCGCCCGCUCGCCCUCACCUCUGACCGUGCUUGAGCCUGGCUUGAGGUGACCAGGGCUUGUCAGGAUUUGAACCCAGGGCCGGCCGGCUUCAAAGACCCUGCAAAUGCCAGGCAUGGUUUGCACACCUAUAAUCGCAGAUCUUGGGAGGCUGAGGCUGGAGGAUCACUGUGAGUUCAAGACCAGCCUGGGCUACAUAGAAAGCCAGCCUACCACUGGCUGGAGAGCAGGCCGAGCAGGUCUCUGCCACCACAGGGGUGGGGACGACACCAGCCCAGCACCUGGAGCCCCCGCCCCCUCCUGGGGGUUUGCACAGGGGCUCCCAGGGCAGUAGGAGUGCGUGUGCAGACACAGGCUGAAACAAUGCGGGAAAACCGAGCUCCACAGGAAACCGCGUUGGCCUGACUCAUGCGGACCCCUCCUCGACACAGAUGGGGAGCCGGCAGGCGGGAGACAGCAGGCGCCCCAUCCCGGCCCAGAGGAAGUGGGGGCUGCAGAGGGGGGCAACUUCCCAUGGCAGCCGGGUUGGGCUCUCUGUCCAAGAGCAAAGCAAUUCCUUUUAAAGAAAGAAGAGCAAGGCCCGGAGCAGCACAGUCAGCCCUGUCUCAGGGGCUCUGUCCCGGGUUCUGCAAGUCCUCAGCUGGGCCACCCACAGCACACAGGGACCCAGUCCCAGGCUCCCGCAGAUCUGGGGACCCGGGGCCAGGGCCAGGCAUCAACUCCGAUGCCUGUGCUUUCGACCCUCAGAGGGGCCACAGUUUCCCUGUCUCAGAGUAAGAGCUGCUCUAGGAAGCUCCUCCAGUGUCCCCAGGAAGUGCCACCAGCAGGCACCCAUUCCCAGGUCACGGGGCUCCCACUGUGGCACCCAUCCUGCCCCCAUCCGUUCCCUGUCCAUGGCUCAGCCCUUGGGGUUCUUUGGGCUCUGGCCUCUGCUGUGGCUACCUCCCAGCUUCCUCCCACUAUUUCUAUCAAACCCCAUGUUUCCUGAAGCUAUUAUGGUGUCAGAGCUUGGUGCCGCUUGCUUGCUCUUCUGACUGGUAGGUCGUUUCUUCUGUAAUUGUCUGAUGAACUCCUAUUCAUCCCUCAAUGCCCAACUCAAAUGUCCCCUUUUCCAUCCUCCAAAGAGUCUCUUCCUCCUCUAUGCUUCCAGGUCCCCUGACAAUCUUCUUGUCCUGACACCACCUUCCUCACAUCUUUUUCCAUCUGUCUCCUGCCCUGAACCAGGAAUUUAAUCUGUUAGGAAUUGUGUCUGAUUCAUCACCAGGUCUCUAGUGCUGAGCCCAGGGCCCUGCCACUUACUGAGCUUGAGUUAUUCCCUGGCGAGAGCGAGGGGAGGGUGAGUGUGGAGCCAGAGCUGACCUUCUGGCCUAGCUUACCUGCAGGCUGCAGCAAUGACUGCCCAGUGUCCUUCAGAACCUUCUCUAGCACCAAACACUGCUCUGCGGCCAGGAGGUUCCGAACCCAGGCCAGGAGGUUCAGAACCCAGGCCGGGGCUGGAGGAGGCGCUCAGAGCUGAGGGGGAUGCUCCGGGCUGGCUCUGUCCCAGCCAUGGCCCUCUCUGGGCCUCUGUGCCUGCUGUGUGUGGCCCAGCCUCUGAAGACUGCGGUGUCCAAGGGUCAGGGACUUAUGUGUGGAGUUUAUCUUCAGUCAUUUUCGGACCAUUUUCUCCAAACUUCUUUUUCCUUUGUUGCUGGGGAUGGAAUCCCAGUCCUCACACAUUCUAGGCAAGUGCUUUCCCAUUUAAAAUAUCCUCAGCUGGGUGUGGUGGUGCUUGCCUGUAAUGCCAGCACUCAGGAGGCUGAGGCAGGAGGACUGCUGCAAGAUAGAGGCCAGCCUGGACUACAGAGCGAGACCCUGCCUCAAAAACAAACAAACAAAAUAAAGUAAGAUAUCCUCACUGCCUUUAGGACAUCGCCCUCCCCGAGCCGUGGCUGUGCUGUGUCCCUGUGUGAGGACUCUGACAGUGCCACAUCCACAGCCCGGCGUCCUCUGGGGCCCCCACCUCGCCCUG